GAUGAACGCUGGCGGCGUGCCUAAUACAUGCAAGUCGAGCGAACAGACGAGGAGCUUGCUCCUCUGACGUUAGCGGCGGACGGGUGAGUAACACGUGGAUAACCUACCUAUAAGACUGGGAUAACUUCGGGAAACCGGAGCUAAUACCGGAUAAUAUAUUGAACCGCAUGGUUCAAUAGUGAAAGACGGUUUUGCUGUCACUUAUAGAUGGAUUCGCGCCGCAUUAGCUAGUUGGUAAGGUAACGGCUUACCAAGGCGACGAUGCGUAGCCGACCUGAGAGGGUGAUCGGCCACACUGGAAAUGAGACACGGUCCAGAAUCCUACGGGAGGCAGCAGUAGGGAAUCUUCCGCAAUGGGCGAAAGCUUGACGGAGCAACGCCGCGUGAGUGAAGAAGGUCUUCGGAUCGUAAAACUCUGUUAUUAGGGAAGAACAAAUGUGUAAGUAACUAUGCACGUCUGGACGGUACCUAAGCAGAAAGCCACGGCUAACUACGU
rnacentral:rRNA from 1 species